GACGAACGCUGGCGGCGUGCUUAACACAUGCAAGUCGAACGGUAAGGCCCUUCGGGGUACACGAGUGGCGAACGGGUGAGUAACACGUGGGUGAUCUGCCCUGCACUUCGGGAUAAGCCUGGGAAACUGGGUCUAAUACCGGAUAGGACCACUGCCUGCAUGGGUGGUGGUGGAAAGCUUUUGCGGUGUGGGAUGGGCCCGCGGCCUAUGAGCUUGUUGGUGGGGUGAUGGCCUACCAAGGAGACGACGGGUAGCCGGCCUGAGAGGGUGACCGGCCACACUGGGACUGAGAUACGGCCCAGACUCCUACGGGAGGCAGCAGUGGGGAAUAUUGCACAAUGGGCGCAAGCCUGAUGCAGCGACGCCGCGUGAGGGAUGACGGCCUUCGGGUUGUGAACCUCUUUCAGCAUCGACGAAGCGAAAGUGACGGUAGGUGCAGAAGAAGGACCGGCCAACUACGUGCCAGCAGCCGCCGUAA
rnacentral:rRNA from 1 species